GUUGCUAUAAACAUGUCAAUACAUCUACAGAUAUACAAACAAUCAGAGAAGGUAAAUACACUUGAGAGUUUCAAUUCUAUACUGGAAUACUGACUUGAAGUGCUCAGAGCAGGGUAAACACAAUUCAAAGCAACGAUUAAACUAUUGGAAAUAAAAUUAAAAAAGAAAACAAAGAUCUGUGACAGAGAGGCCAAUUUCAGGUGACAAAGCAAACAGAAUAACAUAGAAAAACGAAAAUCCAAAGAUCUGUGAACUGAAAAGUGA
rnacentral:misc_RNA from 1 species